rnacentral:rRNA from 1 species
GAUUAGUGGCGAACGGGUGGGUAACACGUGAGUAACCUGCCCUUGACUCUGGGAUAAGCCUGGGAAACUGGGUCUAAUACCGGAUAUGACCUUCCAUCGCAUGGUGGUUGGUGGAAAGCUUUUGUGGUUUUGGAUGGACUCGCGGCCUAUCAGCUUGUUGGUGGGGUAAUGGCCUACCAAGGCGACGACGGGUAGCCGGCCUGAGAGGGUGACCGGCCACACUGGGACUGAGACACGGCCCAGACUCCUACGGGAGGCAGCAGUGGGGAAUAUUGCACAAUGGGCGCAAGCCUGAUGCAGCGACGCCGCGUGAGGGAUGACGGCCUUCGGGUUGUAAACCUCUUUCAGUAGGGAAGAAGCGUAAGUGACGGUACCUGCAGAAGAAGCGCCGGCUAACUACGUGCCAGCAGCCGCGGUAAUACGUAGGGCGCAAGCGUUAUCCGGAAUUAUUGGGCGUAAAGAGCUCGUAGGCGGUUUGUCGCGUCUGCCGUGAAAGUCCGGGGCUCAACUCCGGAUCUGCGGUGGGUACGGGCAGACUAGAGUGAUGUAGGGGAGACUGGAAUUCCUGGUGUAGCGGUGAAAUGCGCAGAUAUCAGGAGGAACACCGAUGGCGAAGGCAGGUCUCUGGGCAUUAACUGACGCUGAGGAGCGAAAGCAUGGGGAGCGAACAGGAUUAGAUACCCUGGUAGUCCAUGCCGUAAACGUUGGGCACUAGGUGUGGGGGACAUUCCACGUUUUCCGCGCCGUAGCUAACGCAUUAAGUGCCCCGCCUGGGGAGUACGGCCGCAAGGCUAAAACUCAAAGGAAUUGACGGGGGCCCGCACAAGCGGCGGAGCAUGCGGAUUAAUUCGAUGCAACGCGAAGAACCUUACCAAGGCUUGACAUGAACCGGAAAGACCUGGAAACAGGUCCCCCACUUGUGGUCGGUUUACAGGUGGUGCAUGGUUGUCGUCAGCUCGUGUCGUGAGAUGUUGGGUUAAGUCCCGCAACGAGCGCAACCCUCGUUCUAUGUUGCCAGCACGUGAUGGUGGGGACUCAUAGGAGACUGCCGGGGUCAACUCGGAGGAAGGUGGGGACGACGUCAAAUCAUCAUGCCCCUUAUGUCUUGGGCUUCACGCAUGCUACAAUGGCCGGUACAAAGGGUUGCGAUACUGUGAGGUGGAGCUAAUCCCAAAAAGCCGGUCUCAGUUCGGAUUGGGGUCUGCAACUCGACCCCAUGAAGUCGGAGUCGCUAGUAAUCGCAGAUCAGCAACGCUGCGGUGAAUACGUUCCCGGGCCUUGUACACACCGCCCGUCAAGUCACGAAAGUUGGUAACACCCGAAGCCGGUGGCCU